rnacentral:rRNA from 1 species
ACUGAACGCUGGCGGCAUGCCUUACACAUGCAAGUCGAACGGCAGCACGGGAGCAAUCCUGGUGGCGAGUGGCGAACGGGUGAGUAAAGUAUCGGAACGUGCCCAGCCGUGGGGGAUAACGUAGCGAAAGUUACGCUAAUACCGCAUACGAUCCAUGGAUGAACGCGGGGGAUCGCAAGACCUCGCGCGCUUGGAGCGGCCGAUAUCAGAUUAGGUAGUUGGUGGGGUAAAGGCUCACCAAGCCGACGAUCUGUAGCUGGUCUGAGAGGACGACCAGCCAUACUGGGACUGAGACACGGCCCAGACUCCUACGGGAGGCAGCAGUGGGGAAUUUUGGACAAUGGGCGAAAGCCUGAUCCAGCCAUGCCGCGUGCAGGAUGAAGGCCUUCGGGUUGUAAACUGCUUUUGUACGGAACGAAAAGGUUUGGGCUAAUAAGCUGAGCUCAUGACGGUACCGUAAGAAUAAGCACCGGCUAACUACGUGCCAGCCGCCGCGGUAA